GUGGUGGUACAUCAUUGUGGCUGUAGGUUUAGCAGCACUCUUACUAACUGUUGUUGUGGUUGUCAUCAGACGGAAGAAAACUACAGGGAACAACAUACAGAUGGAUGAAAACACUGAUGAUCCUGAAGGUGGUGUUUCCUACGCCUCCAUCAGCUACACAAGGAAGACCGACAGUAAAACCCGGGUUCGGGGCAAAGAUGAUGCUGAUGAAGAUGAUGCAGUGACCUAUAGCACUGUAAAAGCUUCCUCCUCUUCUGCUGCAGCCUCCACUGAUCCCAGUAGCCUCUACGCUACCGCCUAACCAAACAAACCAAACUCACGUCAUCACAUGAUUCAUUUUUUAUGAUCAGUUUCAGAAUGUUUUGCUGUAAAAAAGCUGUUUAUCCAGAAGGGGUGUCUAAGUUAAGUAGUAGCAAAAUGUAAAAAAGGAGAAGUAAUAAUGCAAAAUUCUUGAAAUAUAAAUUAGCAUAAGAUAUGUUACAUUUUACUUGAUGAACCUGCUAUCAAACGCUUAUUGUGCUCAGUGACGGAUGUGGUAGCAUUGUAGUUCAAGUUUUAAAAUCUUGUUUUCAUUUUUA